rnacentral:rRNA from 1 species
CCUACGGGGGGCAGCAGUGAGGAAUAUUGGUCAAUGGACGAGAGUCUGAACCAGCCAAGUAGCGUGAAGGAUGACUGCCCUAUGGGUUGUAAACUUCUUUUAUAUGGGAAUAAAAUGUUCCACGUGUGGGAUUUUGUAUGUACCAUAUGAAUAAGGAUCGGCUAACUCCGUGCCAGCAGCCGCGGUAAUACGGAGGAUCCGAGCGUUAUCCAGAUUUAUUGGGUUUAAAGGGAGCGUAGGUGGAUUGUUAAGUCAGUUGUGAAAGUUUGCGGCUCAACCGUAAAAUUGCAGUUGAAACUGGCAGUCUUGAGUACAGUAGAGGUGGGCGGAAUUCGUGGUGUAGCGGUGAAAUGCUUAGAUAUCACGAAGAACUCCGAUUGCGAAGGCAGUUCACUGGACUGCAACUGACACUGAGGCUCGAAAGUGUGGGUAUCAAACAGGAUUAGAUACCCGGGUAGUC